rnacentral:lncRNA from 1 species
GUAACGUAUGUCAAGGCCCUGCCUAAAUAUGUUGGGGUUCUGUCUCGUGACGUAGGGAUAAAGUGAAAUUGGGUUACUAUACUUAAUGUGAGUACACUAUAUAUUUUAUUAAAUAAUCCAGGAGUUGUACCCAAAAUAUAACAACCCUCCCGAAUAUUUUUCUGACACCCUACACUUCCUAAAAUACACCCCGUAUGUGAAAUCCGAGCCCGAAAUAUAAUAUAGCAUUAAAAAUAAAUGAAAAACAAGAAAUAGUAAGUUGAGGCGGGCCGCGUAGACCCACCCCAACCAUUCACGCGGGCCGUAUGAAGGUGUAACCGGAUUCCUUUGAUUUCUUAAGUCCAGGCGGGCCGCAUAAACCACAUAUUAAGAUGACGCGGGCCGCGAGUGACCUAAAGUGUGGCGCAGCCCGGUGCCGACACGUGUCGACAUCGUGGCAGGUCUAGAUCAUGACCAGGAUAAGCUACGCGUUGACUGGAGUUUGACGCGGGCCGCGUAGACUCCUGUCUACCCUUACGCGGGCCGCGUGGGAACCAGAAUCAGCACCUAUAUAAGAGGGCCAUCGGAUUUCAUUCGAAUUCGCUCACAACAAUUUCUUUCUCUCAAAUUCUGAUAGUAGGCCUAUAAUACGCGGGUAUUAUACCCCCUAAUUAGCGAAGCUCUGCCUCGUUGUAAGUAUCAUAACCCCUGGAUACGUAUUAGAUACUCUGCUCGAUUGAUCUAGGGUUCCGUAACGACUGUCGUGGUUCUGCCCGACGUAGUCGUUGGAAUGCCGUCUCGGGGAGGACUAUAACCAGGGAAUCACAGAGGAAAGCCUUAUAAUAGCAAUGUGAGUUGAUCCACUUUUUGUUAAAUGUUUUUACAAAACCUUGCAUACUUUUCUAUGCAAAUAACAGUUAUUGAGUAUUUGUAAGAAUACAAUUAUCACGGGUAUGUUGGGGUUUUGUAUACAAAAUUGGUUACAACCUGGAUAGGAAACCUGGAUAUGGAGUAACAUUACCACAAGUCGGGUAUCGACAGUACCAUGAGUGAUAAUUGAUAUAACUUGGAAACAAAUGUAAUUGCGGGAUCGCCCUCAAUACUGUUCACUGUGACUUUUUAUUUAAACUUGAUUAAACUGGGAUUCACUCACCAGUAUUUCCUGCUGAUAAAAUGUUUUAAACACGUGUUUCAGGUAACUUAGUGUAAAGCCAAUAGAAGCCAGUUGGAGAGCACUGAAGACUUGGAAAAGUGGCAAUAAAGUUAACUAAAAUAAAAUAGAUGUUUUUAUUAAAUAAAAUAGGAUUUAUUCCUAUAAAAAUGUAUGUACUGCAAAACUUGGGUUUUAUCCCAUAUGUUUAAUAUUAUGAAAACAAGGUGGUUUUACU